rnacentral:rRNA from 1 species
UACGGAGGAUCCGAGCGUUAUCCGGAUUUAUUGGGUUUAAAGGGAGCGUAGGUGGACAUGUAAGUCAGUUGUGAAAGUUUGCGGCUCAACCGUAAAAUUGCAGUUGAUACUGUGUGUCUUGAGUACAGUAGAGGUGGGCGGAAUUCGUGGUGUAGCGGUGAAAUGCUUAGAUAUCACGAAGAACUCCGAUUGCGAAGGCAGCUCACUGGACUGGUAACUGACACUGAGGCUCGAAAGUGUGGGUAUCAAACAGG